rnacentral:rRNA from 1 species
GAUGAACGCUGGCGGCGUGCCUAAUACAUGCAAGUCGAGCGAACAGACGAGGAGCUUGCUCCUCUGACGUUAGCGGCGGACGGGUGAGUAACACGUGGAUAACCUACCUAUAAGACUGGGAUAACUUCGGGAAACCGGAGCUAAUACCGGAUAAUAUAUUGAACCGCAUGGUUCAAUAGUGAAAGACGGUUUUGCUGUCACUUAUAGAUGGAUCCGCGCCGCAUUAGCUAGUUGGUAAGGUAACGGCUUACUAAGGCAACGAUGCGUAGCCGACCUGAGAGGGGGAUCGGCCACACUGGAACUGAGACACGGUCCAGACUCCUACGGGAGGCAGCAGUAGGGAAUCUUCCGCAAUGGGCGAAAGCUUGACGGAGCAACGCCGCGUGAGUGAUGAAGGUCUUCGGAUCGUAAAACUCUGUUAUUAGGGAAGAACAAAUGUGUAAGUAACUAUGCACGUCUUGACGGUACCUAAUCAGAAAGCCACGGCUAACUACGUG